CGAAUUUUUUGUUAAGCGGCCCGUCUCUUAGCUCAUUAAUUCUGCUUAUUUUCAUACCCUCAGCGGAGUAUUUUAAAUAUGGAAACCAUAUUACAAGUGGAAGGGUGUGCAGACGCCAAGGUGCAGCAGCGAUAUCUUUCUUGCCACUUUGCUGCGUGAUCGGCAUCAGCAUCAACAUCGCCAUCAGCACAACAUCAAGCAUCGACAUUAAUUUCGGAUGUUUAGGUUUCGUUUUGGGACACUGCGCAAAUUUGGUCAAAUCGAGCCGAAAACCGUGGUUUGAGGUGGUUGGAUCGAUGAAUAGUGGUUUGAAACAUAAUGAAAUGCCAAUACUCUUAAAUGCAAGUGUCUACAGCAAGUAAAUGUCAACAAAUUACGAACUGUAAGUGACUUUAUUUAUUUAUUACAAUAUUUCUGUUAUUAAUUUAA